AGCUCUUAAGUGCGCAUCUUUUGCGUCCGCCAUUACUCCAGCCAGAUAAACUGGCCAGAAUGUAUAUAGAUUAAUAUUAUGAAGAGUUGUUUUUCGAAAAUUUGACGAAUUUAAAUUCACUUAUGGACAAAAUUUUUAAUGCCAUCGGAUAGGAUACCAAGCAUAUGAGUAAAGAGUUUCCUAUUAGAAUGGUCAACGGAUUUGAUAGAAGCGAUAAAACGACCUACUGUGCGUAAAGAACGUUCUUCAGAUGAAGACGUUAUUAGUAUAAAAUUUGGACUAAACUAAUUUAUAUUUGAUUCUUGAAUCGGGGCUUUUUAUUUGCAAUGUAGCUUGUCUGCAUAAUUGUAAUUGAAAGUUUUUAUUUGUAAUUGUAUAUUGAGUUCCUGUGGCUAUCAUGUCUGUCAAAUUUAUAUUAACUUACAAAUAAAGAUGUUUUUUGUUGUCUUAUUUUUAAUAAACAAUAUAUGAAAUUACAA